rnacentral:tRNA from 1 species
GGGAAUAGCUCAGUUGGCUAGAGCGCCUGCUUGCCAAGCAGAAGGUCGCGGGUUCGAGUCCCGUUUCCC